GAUGAACGCUGGCGGCGUGCCUAAUACAUGCAAGUCGAGCGAACGGACGAGAAGCUUGCUUUUCUGAUGUUAGCGGCGGACGGGUGAGUAACACGUGGAUAACCUACCUAUAAGACUGGGAUAACUUCGGGAAACCGGAGCUAAUACCGGAUAAUAUUUUGAACCGCAUGGUUCAAAAGUGAAAGACGGUCUUGCUGUCACUUAUAGAUGGAUCCGCGCUGCAUUAGCUAGUUGGUAAGGUAACGGCUUACCAAGGCAACGAUGCAUAGCCGACCUGAGAGGGUGAUCGGCCACACUGGAACUGAGACACGGUCCAGACUCCUACGGGAGGCAGCAGUAGGGAAUCUUCCGCAAUGGGCGAAAGCCUGACGGAGCAACGCCGCGUGAUUGAUGAAGGUCUUCGGAUCGUAAAACUCUGUUAUUAGGGAAGAACAUAUGUGUAAGUAACUGUGCACAUCUUGACGGUACCUAAUCAGAAAGCCACGGCUAACUACGUG
rnacentral:rRNA from 1 species